ACAGCGUUGCACUGUGUUAAGCUCGAGAUACUUGUAUUCGUUGAAUAUGAAGUGGACAUGACCACUGCGGUUGUCAGGCACACCGCAGUGCAAAACUUUAACCCAGAGAAUGUCGUGGAUUUCGAUCCAAUUAUCCUCUACGACAUGUGGUGGAACGGCGAUGCGACAGAGUGCUGCACAUGGCUGAAACUGAAGAAAUGGCGCUGCACACGUCGAAAAGGUUCAGAAAGCUGUCCUUAGAAAAGGGCAAGAAGAGCACCAAAGUGCCUGAAGAUGGCUUAUGUAGCCGUAUGAAAAGCAUGAUGCCGAAAGACUUUUCUGACAUGGACAUAUUCACUGGAGAGGCCA